AAGCCGAGCCGCCGGACGGUGGGGCUGGGCCACCUCCCGCAGCAGGUGGGGCGAGCGUGGCCGCGAGACUCUGUCCUCACCCUCGCGGGACGUGUCGGUCGCAGGACACCACACGCAAAAAUCACCUUUUUCGUGCUCCAGCAGGCGCUUCUCCUCUGCAGUGCCAUCCUGCCUUGGAGCCAACGGACUGUGAACUAAAAUGUCAAUGAACCGUGAACCAAAAUAAACCUUUCGUCCUUUAAACGAACCAAAACCAUGACGCUGUGUGUGUGAGCACCACUGCUGUGUUCUCUCCCUCGAUGGACACACUGGGUAACUGACCACGGCCACCCCACAAGGAAGUGCUAUGCAAGGAUUUGCACCUGGGGACUGGAGGCCACCUCUACAGCUGCACUGAACAUGAGAGGCAGACAAGUCUUAACUCCAGUGCACAUCAAAUUAGAUGGGUGCUUGGUAAACACUAUCAUUUCACCUGAUGUAACUGUAAUAACAACAGUGAUGAUGGCUGGUCUGUUAAAAUAACCUAUGAUUUUUGGGAAAACAUUUAUUUUAUAAACUUUCCUGUCCCCACCCAACUACAAGUUUUGUUUCAUAGAAGGGAGGCAAUUUAGAGAGAGGAGGGAAUGGGAGAAAGUGAAGCUGAAGUCAGGGAGAGAAAGGAACAGAGAUGCCACUCUGUUAAGGAAGAUUAUUCCCAUCCCCUCCCCAGCUUCUUGUUGCUUCUUCAUCUUCUUUUUUUUUUCCUGGUAUUGGGAAUCAAACUUGGGUCCUUGAGCUUGCAAGUCAGGCAGCAGAUUGUUGCUUCUUUUUGAAGGAUAAGCAAGGGUGCUUUGUCUCUUCAGUUUUAUCUUUUCUUUGUAUCUGAGAUGACCUCCUAAGACUUCUACAAUAGGGCCCCUGUUUCUAGCUAAGUGCUUUACAAGUCAGAGCAAAAAGGAAUCUUUCCUGUAAACAUCCUCUGGGUCACUCCCGGAAAAGGUGAGAAGCAACCACUGCGUCCUGUCUUUAUUCUGAGUCCUGGAGCAAAUAACACAAUUUUCUGUUCCUCUCAGAUUUCUUGGGGCCAAAAAGAGCACGGUAUUGAAAAUGCUGCAGGAAACAUCCUCCCAUUAAGGUUGUUCUGUCUUCAGGGUAAGAAUCUCUGGCUUAGAGAACUCAUUCACAACUUGCCUUCCAUGGAGAUGUUGUGGACGCAUGUGCACUUUGCCUGGUGCUUUGGAAGUGCUACUGACUGAUUCCCACCUCCUCAGAGGGGUGCUGUCCUUAAUCCAAAGGCAACCCUGCCCAGUUUUCUGUCUCCUUGCCCAGUUUCCUAUCUUGAUUUCCCUAUUUCUGACUUCAGUGCAAUUAUCACCCAGCUGGCCAAACCUCAGGGUCACCUCUGCUGACCUCACUCUCACCUCUAAUCCCAUCAAUCAUCAAAUACCAAGAGAUUUCCUUCCAAUCAACGCCCACACUCAUUCUGUUUUUCUUUACCGACACUUUGUUCUAGGCCCUUCUCAUCUUGGGUCUCUGGCAUUACUAUUGCUUCCUGGCUGGGUUCCUUGCCUUUAGAAUUUUCUCCCUUCUAGAUAUGGGUUUGUUAUUUAGCUAUAUAAAUCAUAAACCUUGAUUGCAUAGACAGAUCCCCUUCAACUGCUGAUACCUAAUUGUGUUGUUGCUACUUUAUAUUCUCAACCUGAUUUACUCCUUGUCCAUUUUGCACUCAGGUGCCAGAUGAAUGUGUUUUUAAAAAUAGACUAUAGUUUUAGGCAGUUUUAGGAUACACAAAACUGAACAGAAAGAACAGUGUUCCUGUGCACGUCUGUCCUCCAUGUGCGCAACCUCUCACUAUGAACACCAGGAACCCAAGGAGUACAUUUGCUAUAAUUGAUAAAGCAGUAGUAAGACAUCAUUAUCAUCCAAAGCUCAGAGUUUGCCUUAAGAUUUUUUAAAAAUACUGCUCCUUCAUGGCAUGUUUCUGCCUUAAAACUGCCAGUUAAAAUCUUGCCUAUUAGGCCAGGAUUGUAGUCCAGUGACACCUCACCUGUCUCGCAAGCACAAGGUCCUGAGUUCAAUCCCCCGUCCCAAAAAAAAAAAAAAAAAAAAAAAAAAAAAGUUGCCAAGCUGACUACUUCUCUACACCCUAAUUCUAUAUUGGAUAUAAGCCUCUCCGUAUCUGCCCCAAUUUUCUUUUUCAACCCUUCCAAUAAUCAUUCAUCCACACUCCCCGCAGCAGGCGGUCACCACUGUCAUAUCCAUGAGCCUGGCUUUAAUCACACUAUCUCCACAGAGUGUGAUUCAGUUCAAGUUACAAUUGCUUUGGAAGGUAUUUGGAAGACAGCUAUGCUCACCACUAUACCACCAAAGCAGACCUCAGGCAGGCAUUUGGGGAUGAUUCCACAGCCUCUUCUUGUUUCUACCACCUGCUUAGCACUAAUCACGAGUGCCUUAAGCCACAUGUUGCACUGUUGAUUCUUCAUAUAACUUAUUGUGCACAUAUGUUAUUUCCUCAAGUAGAAGGCAAGCUUUAUAAGGAACUAGUAAGAGGACCACACCUUCUACUCUCCAGCAAGGUCCUACACAUAGAAAAUGUUCCAUAAAUAUUUGCUGAAUGAAUGAAUUAGCCUGGAGCAGGCUUUCCAAGGCUGCGGUAACCAAGAGAUCUCUUCUUAAUGGGGUAUAACCACCCCAUCCUGAGGCAAUUUCUUUCAGCAGUUUUCUUUUAAAAGAGUUAACCGGUACAAAUUGCUUGGCUUUUGAGUGAAAUUUGAAAAAAAAAAAUGAUAUGAAAAGUAAACACUUUCUUCCUCAAGGCAGUAGCAAGCCCAAACAGAGAAACAAGACUCAAACACAUCUCUUAUAGCUUGUCAUUUCAUUGAACCUAGCCAUGUCAGGCUUUGUUGGUAGUCAUGCACACAGUUUGUGCCUCUUGCUUGACUUAGCUUGGUAAGGUGGUUGGCUUUCACCCAUGUGCCUAAAGCCUCCACGUUGCUCAUGUUUCUUUCCCUCCACCUGGGUGAUUCAAAAGGGGAAGGGAAGGGAAGGGAGGGGAGGGGAGGGGAAAGGAAGCAAGGGGAAGAAAGGGGAAGGGAAGGGAAAGAGGGAAAAGAAGAGAAGGGAAGGGAAGAAACUUAACAUCUUCCUGGUCAACUUUUGGUUUUAGAUUCUGCAGGUGAUGUAGACCAAUGCAGAAAAGUAUAUUUGUAUUUAAAACAUUUUUUCACUCAUUUUUAAAACAUUUUUUAAUCAUCUCCCCCAAAAUGUAAAUAAGCCCAUAUCCUUGCUUAAAGCAUGUAUUGAGUGCAAUUCCAUUGAAAAGGUAUUAAUUGAAGACUUAGAGAAUGCCAGACCUCGUUCUAGAUGUUGGCGACAUAUCAGGAAACAAAGCAGACAAAAAUGCUUGCCUUCUUGAAGCUUAUGCCCUAGAAAGACAAACAUGAAGCAUCCUGAAUUGCACAUUAUUGCUAUAUUAGAAGGCGAUAGAUGCAGUGGAAACUACUGUAAGCGGAGUGAGGGGUAUGCUAGAGUUUAGAGGAGACGGGCAGGGUUCGCCUCACUGAGAAGGUGGCCGGCGCACAGGCCUAGAGGAGGUGGGAAGGGUGACCAUGAGACUGUCUGGGAGAAGAGGAAAUGCCUUUCUUCAGCAUGACCUCACCUGAGUGCCUUGUCACCUCCUUGGUGCACCCUGGCCUUCUUCAGCCACCUGGCCAUCACUUUCUCACCUCCGUCUCUGCACACACCAGUUCAUCAACUCUGUAUUUUCUUUUCCUGUUUCUUGACCAGUUCCUCAUUCUUCAGGUUUCAAUCUAAACACCACCUUCUCAAGUGGCUUUCUUUGCCCCCUAUUAUAAGUUAGAGAACCUCCCACAAUUUGUCUUAUAGGCGUAAAUACUGUUCAAAUGAAAGAUAAAAAAUACUGUUCAAAUGAAAGAACUCACCAAAAGGGUCCAAAAGAGAAGAGAUUUUUGAGGCCAAAGAUGUUGACUUGUUCACUUAUUGCCAAUCACAUUGUUGAAUUAUUUGGUAGACUUCAUUUUCACAAAUGAGCUUCAUAAUCAAGGGGGACAGAAUGAUCAAGUUAUGCUUUACUUAAGCUUAAGUUCAUAUUACCAUAAAUAAGAUGAAAAAAAAAGUAUGAAGUGUGAAAUUGUGUUAUGGGAAUUGAAUCCUCUCUUGCUUCCCUUUUCCGGCAGUUUCCACUAGGUGAAGAGGACUUGGUUUCAGCCCUCGGCCCAGAUGGGCCCUUCUCAGGACUGUGUUUCACUAAGCAAAGGUCAAAUGGAAUCUUACUAAUUUCAUAUGAACCCUGGUUUUCUAGCAGAAGAGUCCUCUCCAAGACAGUGUGUUUACUUUUGUUCCUUGAGUCAAAGGCCAGUAUUUCUUUAAUUUCCUCUGUGCCUCUGUCAAAUUCACAUUAAAAAUAACUUUUAUUUUGAGGGUUUGUUAUCUAAGGAGUCACUGCCUAUCAAAUUCUCAAUUAUCUGGAUUAAUUAAAACAUCUUCCAACCCCCAAGAUACAUGUGGUAAUAUCUUCUAAUGGGAAUCAAAAUGUGGCACCUUAGCAUUUGAGAAAAUGGCAGAAACAGAAAUGUUACCCUCACCCUUCUCUGAAGCUGGCCAUAAAAUCCUUCAUUCCAGAGGUGCCCAUGCUAUAUCCCCAGAAAAGAAGCACUUACUUCUGAAGACACAAAUAAUCUGAACAAACAGGUCUUGCUAAGCUCCCCCGAGUUUAUUACCAUGAGAUCAUAUCCCUUUUUCCAAUCAUGAUUUGAUAUGACUAUCUGUUUUUUUAUAUCCACUUCUAAAUGUUGUUGUCAUGCCAUGUAAAACUUACAUUAAAUAAAUCGUAUGCUUUUCUCCUAUUAACCUGUUUUUUUGUUAUAGGUGUGUUGCCAUGAUGGGCGAGAAAAAUAGUUUUUUCUUCCCCCAAACAAGAACAGGUUUUCUUACUGUGAUUUGCUUAAGAAACGCCAUUAGAAUGAUUUUAUUAAUGUAAAAAUAUCUGUUUCAGCCCUGCCUAAUUUCAAAAUGUUUCUUAGGUGACAUAUAAAUCAUGAAAUAUAACUGAAACAAAAGAAAUACAACAGAACAAGCAAGCAAGAGCAAGAAGGUGAAGUGAAGCAAGAAAUACAGCCUCUACAAGGAGAUUCCAGCCAUAAGAAUUCAAGCAAUUACCAAAGAGAGGCUCAGAGAAACGAAGAAUUAGAUGAGUUAAAGGACUCACGAUGCUUUGUUUUUUUUCUUUUAUUGAGUUUAUUGGUACAUUUCAGGUAUACAGUACAGU